rnacentral:rRNA from 1 species
UACGAAGGAUGCAGCGUUGCUCGGAAUCAUUGGGCGUAAAGGGCAAGUAGGUGGUCUUGUUUGUCUGUGGUGAAAGCCUUGGGCUUAACCCAAGAAGUGCCUCAGAAACGGCAAGACUAGAGUACUGGAGAGGGUCGCAGAAUUCCCGGUGUAGCGGUGAAAUGCGUAGAGAUCGGGAGGAACACCCAGGGGGAAACCAGCCGACUGGGCAAGUGCUGACGCUGAGGUGCGAGAGCGUGGGGAGCGAACCGG